rnacentral:rRNA from 1 species
GAUGAACGCUGGCGGCGUGCCUAAUACAUGCAAGUCGAGCGAACAGAUAAGGAGCUUGCUCCUUUGAAGUUAGCGGCGGACGGGUGAGUAACACGUGGGUAACCUACCUAUAAGACUGGGAUAACUUCGGGAAACCGGAGCUAAUACCGGAUAACAUUUAGAACCGCAUGGUUCUAAAGUGAAAGAUGGUUUUGCUAUCACUUAUAGAUGGACCCGCGCCGUAUUAGCUAGUUGGUAAGGUAACGGCUUACCAAGGCGACGAUACGUAGCCGACCUGAGAGGGUGAUCGGCCACACUGGAACUGAGACACGGUCCAGACUCCUACGGGAGGCAGCAGUAGGGAAUCUUCCGCAAUGGGCGAAAGCCUGACGGAGCAACGCCGCGUGAGUGAUGAAGGGUUUCGGCUCGUAAAACUCUGUUAUUAGGGAAGAACAAAUGUGUAAGUAACUGUGCACAUCUUGACGGUACCUAAUCAGAAAGCCACGGCUAACUACGUGCCAGCAGCCGCGGUAAUACGUAGGUGACAAGCGUUAUCCGGAAUUAUUGGGCGUAAGCGCGCGUAGGCGGUUUCUUAAGUCUGAUGUGAAAGCCCACGGCUCAACCGUGGAGGGUCAUUGGAAACUGGGAAACUUGAGUGCAGAAGAGGAAAGUGGAAUUCCAUGUGUAGCGGUGAAAUGCGCAGAGAUAUGGAGGAACACCAGUGGCGAAGGCGACUUUCUGGUCUGUAACUGACGCUGAUGUGCGAAAGCGUGGGGAUCAAACAGGAUUAGAUACCCUGGUAGUCCACGCCGUAAACGAUGAGUGCUAAGUGUUAGGGGGUUUCCGCCCCUUAGUGCUGCAGCUAACGCAUUAAGCACUCCGCCUGGGGAGUACGACCGCAAGGUUGAAACUCAAAGGAAUUGACGGGGACCCGCACAAGCGGUGGAGCAUGUGGUUUAAUUCGAAGCAACGCGAAGAACCUUACCAAAUCUUGACAUCCUUUGAAAACUCUAGAGAUAGAGCCUUCCCCUUCGGGGGACAAAGUGACAGGUGGUGCAUGGUUGUCGUCAGCUCGUGUCGUGAGGUGUUGGGUUAAGUCCCGCAACGAGCGCAACCCUUAAGCUUAGUUGCCAUCAUUAAGUUGGGCACUCUAGGUUGACUGCCGGUGACAAACCGGAGGAAGGUGGGGAUGACGUCAAAUCAUCAUGCCCCUUAUGAUUUGGGCUACACACGUGCUACAAUGGACAAUACAAAGGGCAGCCAAACCGCGAGGUCAUGCAAAUCCCAUAAAGUUGUUCUCAGUUCGGAUUGUAGUCUGCAACUCGACUACAUGAAGCUGGAAUCGCUAGUAAUCGUAGAUCAGCAUGCUACGGUGAAUACGUUCCCGGGUCU